GACAGAGGCUCCCUACAGAGAACAAUAACAUGGCGGCCGACCAGUGCAAAAGCUGUUAUACCCCCAGCAAAACCAGUGAAUGGCUGGAAGCCAGCGGAAAAUGACCUCAGGCGAAAGAAAAUCAAAACGUCUCAAUCAUGUUUUUUCUUAGAGGAUGGCAGCAUGGGGAUGGUUUUCAAGGCAUACCCAAAAGCAAGAAGCAUUCGAAACGGGAUCACUACAGUGAAGCUACCAAAGCGGGAAGAGAUUUGCUCAACCAAACAGGUCUCCUCUGACUAAGUGUUGAACCAAAGUGUUUUAUCACAGAAGAUAAACUUAACUCGCACUCACAGUUACAUUCCUGCACUUUUUAUUCCUUGUGUAAAGUAGUAUUUAUUGUUACAGGUCUGGUGAUCUGC
ensembl:lncRNA